rnacentral:rRNA from 1 species
UAGGGAAUCUUCCGCAAUGGACGCAAGUCUGACGGAGCAACGCCGCGUGAGUGAAGAAGGAUUUCGGUUCGUAAAACUCUGUUGUUAGAGAAGAACAGCGCAUAGAGUAACUGUUAUGCGUGUGACGGUAUCUAACCAGAAAGCCACGGCUAACUACGUGCCAGCAGCCGCGGUAAUACGUAGGUGGCAAGCGUUGUCCGGAUUUAUUGGGCGUAAAGCGAGCGCAGGCGGUCAAUUAAGUCUGAUGUGAAAGCCCCCGGCUCAACCGGGGAGGGUCGUUGGAAACUGGUUGACUUGAGUGCAGAAGAGGAGAGUGGAAAUCCAUGUGUAGCGGUGAAAUGCGUAGAUAUAUGGAAGAACACCAGUGGCGAAGGCGACUCGCUGGUCUGUAACUGACACUGAGGUUAAAAAGCGUGGGUAGCAAACAGG